rnacentral:tRNA from 1 species
GACUCAGUUGGUAAUAUGGUAUUACACACGGACUGCAAAUCUGUUGAUCGAAGGGUUCGAUUCCCUCUGAAUCC